rnacentral:lncRNA from 1 species
GCAUCCCCAACAAGGGUCAUUCACUUCUGUGUAAUGACCUCUAGAGAUAGACAAUUAGCUCGAUCCAAAUCUCACUAGAGGACAUCUAUAGUUGUUAUGAAUUGUUCCAUAAUAUUGUAGUAGAGAUUUCUUUUCUAUAACUUGCACCUCGGUCUAUCCUCUGAAACUAUGCAAAACAAAUAUCAUUCUUUAGAAUUGUUAUGAAGAAAAUGGGUUGGAAACUGCAAAGUGAUUAUUCUCAUCUGUUUCAAGUUUGAAAGGUGACUGCACCUGAGCAGCUCAAACAAAUCGAAUGAUUUCCCUAAGAUCACGCAACCAAGAAAGCAUAAAGGGGGCUGGGAUCCCAACUUCCUGAAAUUCCACUCACUUCUGGAUGACUUAGUGCCACCUCUCUCCAAAACAAGCUCAGGUCAAGGAAAUAGAGGAGGCAACAUAGGAUCGAAAGCUUGCUCUCCUCGAAACUGUAGUGAUGACCAGC